GCUCUCGCAUCGAUGAAGAACGUAGCGAAAUGCGAUACCUGGUGUGAAUUGCAGAAUCCCGCGAACCAUCGAGUCUUUGAACGCAAGUUGCGCCCGAGGCCACUCGGCCGAGGGCACGCCUGCCUGGGCGUCA
rnacentral:rRNA from 1 species